rnacentral:rRNA from 1 species
UACGUAGGGUGCGAGCGUUGUCCGGAAUUACUGGGCGUAAAGAGCUCGUAGGUGGUUUGUCGCGUUGUUCGUGAAAACCGGGGGCUUAACCCUCGGCGUGCGGGCGAUACGGGGCAGACUUGAGUACUGCAGGGGAGACUGGAAUUCCUGGUGUAGCGGUGGAAUGCGCAGAUAUCAGGAGGAACACCGGUGGCGAAGGCGGGAUCCUGGGCCAGUACUGACGCUGAGGAGCGAAAGCGUGGGGAGCAAACAGG